rnacentral:rRNA from 1 species
GUCGAGCGAACGGACGAGAAGCUUGCUUCUCUGAUGUUAGCGGCGGACGGGUGAGUAACACGUGGAUAACCUACCUAUAAGACUGGGAUAACUUCGGGAAACCGGAGCUAAUACCGGAUAAUAUUUUGAACCGCAUGGUUCAAAAGUGAAAGACGGUCUUGCUGUCACUUAUAGAUGGAUCCGCGCUGCAUUAGCUAGUUGGUAAGGUAACGGCUUACCAAGGCAACGAUGCAUAGCCGACCUGAGAGGGUGAUCGGCCACACUGGAACUGAGACACGGUCCAGACUCCUACGGGAGGCAGCAGUAGGGAAUCUUCCGCAAUGGGCGAAAGCCUGACGGAGCAACGCCGCGUGAGUGAUGAAGGUCUUCGGAUCGUAAAACUCUGUUAUUAGGGAAGAACAUAUGUGUAAGUAACUGUGCACAUCUUGACGGUACCUAAUCAGAAAGCCACGGCUAACUACGUGCCAGCAGCCGCGGUAAUACGUAGGUGGCAAGCGUUAUCCGGAAUUAUUGGGCGUAAAGCGCGCGUAGGCGGUUUUUUAAGUCUGAUGUGAAAGCCCACGGCUCAACCGUGGAGGGUCAUUGGAAACUGGAAAACUUGAGUGCAGAAGAGGAAAGUGGAAUUCCAUGUGUAGCGGUGAAAUGCGCAGAGAUAUGGAGGAACACCAGUGGCGAAGGCGACUUUCUGGUCUGUAACUGACGCUGAUGUGCGAAAGC